AUUACCCAGGAGGAAGCGCGCACAGCAGAAUUGGUUAGAACUGUCCUGUGACGUAACCUGUCAAUCAGUUGAAUCACCAGUCACCCCCACCCCUUGUUGAAGGCACUCUUUCGAAGGUUUCCUGAAGGCAUCUAUGAGUAGUUUUCAAAAUCUAGCGCUUCGAUAUAAUAAAACGUUCUAAUAUGGCCACCAGUUGUGUUAUCAAAUGCAAUUAGCACGAAGGUCUGUUAGGGGACGUAAAAGAAAGAAGUUUAAAACAAUGCUUUUCCUAAACUGAGAACCAUAUCUGCCCAGAGGAUAGCAAUUAACAUGCGGGACAAUUAAAAGGCCAAAAAUGGAUAACAGCAAAUCGUAUCAGAGAGUCAUACGGUACAUAAAUAGGCCCUUGGAUCCUGCUGAUCAAGAUGUCCAUCCAAGUAGGCCUACUAUUCCAAAUCAUCUACUUGUCCAAAUUUAAAGGAAUAGAAACAUGAGAAAAUCUGCAUAUCUGUGUUUUGCUUGGAAGAGAAUGGAGGCAGAGAGAAACAAGGACACGUGGGAAUUUGGAAAGAAGAAUGAGAAAUGAGGUCACUAUUCCAAGAUCCACAAAGGAAGAGAUCACUGGGUGAACAGAGGAAAAGAUUCAAGGAUGUGCUCCUGGGAACCUCUGGACAGCAGUGAGAACCUCGAGUCCAGAAGCAGAGAAAGGGAGGAAGGCAGCAAUAUGACCCUUCUGCUGAAUAUCAUUGUGAGCGUACCUACACCAAGACUCCAGCAGUUCAAGAUGAAAGCCAUCAUCAUCUUUUCAAGCCCAAUUGGAGAAGGGUGUUAAAUGCUGGCCUGG